UACGUAGGGGGCAAGCGUUGUCCGGAAUCAUUGGGCGUAAAGAGCGCGUAGGCGGCCCUGUAAGUCCGCUGUGAAAGUCAAGGGCUCAACCCUUGAAUGCCGGUGGAUACUGCAGGGCUAGAGUCCGGAAGAGGCGAGUGGAAUUCCUGGUGUAGCGGUGAAAUGGCGUAGAUAUCAGGAGGAACACCUGUGGUGUAGACAGCUUACUGGACCAUAACUGACGCUGAGGCACGAAAAGCGUGGGUAGCAAACAGG
rnacentral:rRNA from 1 species